UACGGAGGAUCCGAGCGUUAUCCGGAUUUAUUGGGUUUAAAGGGUGCGUAGGUGGAUUGGUAAGUCAGUGGUGAAAGUUUGCAGCUUAACUGUAAAAUUGCCGUUGAAACUGCCGGUCUUGAGUGCAAAUGAGGUAGGCGGAAUGCGUCGUGUAGCGGUGAAAUGCUUAGAUAUGACGCAGAACUCCGAUUGCGAAGGCAGCUUACUGGGAUGCAACUGACGCUGAGGCACGAAAGCGUGGGUAUAAAACAGGAUUAGAUACCCGGGUA
rnacentral:rRNA from 1 species